CAGAGGGUGCGAGCGUUGUUCGGAAUUAUUGGGCGUAAAGCGCGUGUAGGCGGGAUGGCAAGUCGGGUGUGAAAGCCCUCAGCUCAACUGAGGAAGUGCGCCCGAAACUACCGUUCUUGAGUGCCGGAGAGGGUGGCGGAAUUCCCGGUGUAGAGGUGAAAUUCGUAGAUAUCGGGAGGAACACCAGUGGCGAAGGCGGCCACCUGGACGGACACUGACGCUGAGACGCGAAAGCGUGGGGAGCAAACAGGAUCAGAUACCCUGGUAGUCCACGCCGUAAACGAUGAGUGCUAGGUGUUGUGGGUGUUGACCCCCGCAGUGCCGCAGCUAACGCAUUAAGCACUCCGCCUGGGAAGUACGGCCGCAAGGCUA
rnacentral:rRNA from 1 species